rnacentral:rRNA from 1 species
AACGAACGCUGGCGGCAUGCCUAACACAUGCAAGUCGAACGAGACCUUCGGGUCUAGUGGCGCACGGGUGCGUAACGCGUGGGAACCUGCCCUUAGGUUCGGAAUAACUCCCCGAAAGGGGUGCUAAUACCGGAUAAUGUCUUCGGACCAAAGAUUUAUCGCCUUUGGAUGGGCCCGCGUUGGAUUAGCUAGUUGGUAGGGUAAAAGCCUACCAAGGCGACGAUCCAUAGCUGGUCUGAGAGGAUGAUCAGCCACACUGGGACUGAGACACGGCCCAGACUCCGACGGGAGGGAGCAGUGGGGAAUAUUAGACAAUGGGCGAAAGCCUGAUCCAGCAGUGCCGCGUGAGUGAUGAAGGCCUUAGGGUUGUACAGCUCUUUUACCCGGGAUGAUAAUGACAGUACCGGGAGAAUAAGCUCCGGCUAACUCCGUG